AUGAGUAGGGCGGGACACGUGGUAUCCUGUCUGAAUAUGGGGGGACCAUCCUCCAAGGCUAAAUACUCCUGACUGACCGAUAGUGAACCAGUACCGUGAGGGAAAGGCGAAAAGAACCCCGGCGAGGGGAGUGAAAAAGAACCUGAAACCGUGUACGUACAAGCAGUGGGAGCACCCUUUGGGGUGUGACUGCGUACCUUUUGUAUAAUGGGUCAGCGACUUAUAUUCUGUAGCAAGGUUAACCGAAUAGGGGAGCCGGAGGGAAACCGAGUCUUAAUUGGGCGUUAAGUUGCAGGGUAUAGACCCGAAACCCGGUGAUCUAGCCAUGGGCAGGUUGAAGGUUGGGUAACACUAACUGGAGGACCGAACCGACUAAUGUUGAAAAAUUAGCGGAUGACCUGUGGCUGGGGGUGAAAGGCCAAUCAAACCGGGAGAUAGCUGGUUCUCCCCGAAAGCUAUUUAGGUAGCGCCUCGUGAAUUCAUCUCCGGGGGUAGAGCACUGUUUCGGCUAGGGGGCCAUCCCGGCUUACCAACCCGAUGCAAACUGCGAAUACCGGAGAAUGUUAUCACGGGAGACACACGGCGGGUGCUAACGUCCGUCGUGAAGAGGGAAACAACCCAGACCGCCAGCUAAGGUCCCAAAGUCAUGGUUAAGUGGGAAACGAUGUGGGAAGGCCCAGACAGCCAGGAUGUUGGCUUAGAAGCAGCCAUCAUUUAAAGAAAGCGUAAUAGCUCACUGGUCGAGUCGGCCUGCGCGGAAGAUGUAACGGGGCUAAACCAUGCACCGAAGCUGCGGCAGCGACGCUGAUGCGUUGUUGGGUAGGGGAGCGUUCUGUAAGCCUGCGAAGGUGGCCUGUGAGGGUUGCUGGAGGUAUCAGAAGUGCGAAUGCUGACAUAAGUAACGAUAAAGCGGGUGAAAAGCCCGCUCGCCGGAAGACCAAGGGUUCCUGUCCAACGUUAAUCGGGGCAGGGUGAGUCGACCCCUAAGGCGAGGCCGAAAGGCGUAGUCGAUGGGAAACGGGUUAAUAUUCCCGUACUUGGUGUUACUGCGAAGGGGGGACGGAGAAGGCUAUGUUGGCCGGGCGACGGUU
rnacentral:rRNA from 1 species